CUGUUUCUCAAGGACACUAACCACAUGCUCAACUCUCAGCUGAUCUCCUGUUUUUACUUUGUUAUAUAUCUGGAAGGGGGACACAAAUACAAGUUUACAGCUGCAACUGAAAAUCACCUCUCCUUACCACAGAGUUUCAGAUUUGAUUGCGAGGUGAAGAACAGAAGUUCCCCUGACAGCUUAAGAACGUGUUGCUCAAAGAUGGGGCACUGCAGUAACCAGAAAGAGGAAAGAAAGGGCAAGUUUCAGGUUCACUUCUGAGCUUGUUUCCAAGGGACACUAACUGCACAAAUGAACCCAGCAACAGCUGAAAGAAAAUCAAGUUCUGUUGUUUAGAAGGAAGUC